rnacentral:misc_RNA from 1 species
AAGUCGUAACAAGGUUUCCGUAGGUGAACCUGCGGAAGGAUCAUUACAACGUAUCCACGUACCAAACUCUCGAACCGUUCCCAACGAAGCAAACACUUGUGGAUGAAGUUAAUGGCUGUCUGUCUUUCGCUGAUGGAGUCCGCUGACUUUUGUCAAAGGGACUGAAAGGCAUUCGGUCGCCGGAGCUCGUCUCUGGGGCUUCGUUUACUUCGUUGAGGUUUUACCGUCAGCGUUUGUAAUACCAUUAUUGACCCUUUGAACUUAUGAACUGAACUUGAUAGCUUUGCAGCUGUCCUUGCUGGCUUCGGUCACGGACAUAACUGCUCAGCUUAUCACAUUUACAAAACAAAGAACAACUCUUAGCAACGGAUAUCUUGGUUCUC